rnacentral:tRNA from 1 species
GUGGGUAUAGCUCAAAGGUAGAGCACUUGCUUAGCAUGCAUGGGGUCCUGGGUUCAAUCCCUAGUACCUCUG